GCCGAAGUGGUGAAAUUGGUAGACACGCAAGCUUGAGGGGCUUGUACCCGUUCUUGGGUGUGGAGGUUCAAAUCCUCUCUUCGGCA
rnacentral:tRNA from 1 species